UUAAAUCCCUCUCCAUAUCCCCACCAAACCCUAGCCUCCUUCCCCUUCUCACGCCGCCACCUCUCUCCCUCCUUACCCUCUUCUUUGUGAACAACCUUCUCACAUAGAACCACCACAUCCUCAACCUCGCUGAUGCUGCCGGCCGCCCCACGACGAGCCAAGGGCACCGGGAGAAGCGCCUCGUCACCCUGUUCCUCCUACUGAAAGGAAUCGUCCUGGAAGGCCCUGGAACGUCGUCAUGUUCGCCGAUUCCAUCUCCGUCCACCGGCGUUCUUCUUCAAAUUCCGGCUACCCUCGUCCACCUCCGGCCAAACCGAGCACACCUCCGGUUUCCCCAAGUCAAGGCGCACCUUCGACGCCCUCGCCCUCGUCCCGAAUCGCCAUGAACCGACAGAUACGUGCUCUCCUGCAAGUAUCCACCACGGUUUCUUCUUUCCCCGAGCUCCGCCGUGGGCAGCUCUAAAAGGGCAUGCUUCUCGUCCUCUUCAACAUCUAUAGAGCAGCGCAGUGAUCUCAGGCAGCUAUGCUUCACGUUACGCGGAGGCUUUGCAAAAUCAAAGCAGCAGUCAGCCCAGCUGAUCCACACAUGGGCCUUGGCCCAGACCCACAUCGCCCGCGUGGCCCGAAGCUAAUCGUCGCCGCUGGCAGCUGCACUUUGCUUCUUCCCGAAUAGGAUCACGAAGUGGUGCGGUGAGAUACGACGAGUUCUCAGGAUGUUCCUCGACAAUCUUUAACAUGCAAGCAUUUUCUAAACUCCUGUCUCUGCAGGAGUCGCUCACCUAUUUUAUUUUGCCUUCUCCCUUAUGCUAGCCUUGAGUUGCGUUCUUGUCACGUGUCCUAUCCACAUGUUACCUCAAGCAGCCCAUAUUGCCUCCACCACCCUCUGAUACGUCUCCAACGUAUCUAUAAUUUCUGAUGUUACAUGCUUGUUUUAUGACAAUACCUACAUGUUUUGUUCACACUUUAUGAUGAUUUUAUGCGUUUUUCGGAACUAACCUAUUGACGAGAUGCCGAAGUGCCAGUUCCUGUUUUCUGCUGUUUUUGGUUUCAGAAAUCCUAGUAAGGAAAUAUUCUCGGAAUUGGACGAAAUCAACGCCCAGUAUCUUAUAAUUCCACGAAGCUUCCAGAACACCGGAGAGGGGCCAGAGGAGAGGUCCAGGGCCACCACACGUGGAGGCGGCGCGGCCCAGGGGGGCGCCCCCUGUUGUAUGGCUGCCCCAGACCCCCUCCGACUCCGACUCUCCGCCUAUUUAAGCCUCCCUGACCUAAAAACUUCAGCGGAAUAAGCCACGGUACGAGAAACCUUCUAGAGCCGCCGCCAUCGCGAAGCCAAGAUCUGGGGGACAGAAGUCUCUGUUCCGGCACGCCGCCGGGACGGGAAGUGCCCCCGGAAGGCAUCUCCAUCGACACCACCGCCAUCUUCAUCACCGCUGCUGUCUCCCAUGAGGAGGGAGUAGUUCUCCCUCGAGGCUAAGGGCUGUACCGGUAGCUAUGUGGUUAAUCUCUCUCCCAUGUACUUCAAUACAAUGAUCUCAUGAGCUGCUUUACAUGAUUGAGAUUCAUAUGAUGAGCUUUGUAAUCUAGAUGUCGUUAUGCUAUUCAAGUGGAUUUUACUUAUGUGAUCUCCGGAGACUCCUUGUCCCACGUGUGUAAAGGUGACAGUGUGUGCACCGUGUGGGUCUCUUAGGCUAUA